ACUUAAAUUGAAGAGUUUGAUCAUGGCUCAGAUUGAACGCUGGCGGCAGGCCUAACACAUGCAAGUCGAGCGGUAGCACAGAGAGCUUGCUCUCGGGUGACGAGCGGCGGACGGGUGAGUAAUGUCUGGGAAACUGCCUGAUGGAGGGGGAUAACUACUGGAAACGGUAGCUAAUACCGCAUAAUGUCGCAAGACCAAAGUGGGGGACCUUCGGGCCUCAUGCCAUCAGAUGUGCCCAGAUGGGAUUAGCUAGUAGGUGGGGUAACGGCUCACCUAGGCGACGAUCCCUAGCUGGUCUGAGAGGAUGACCAGCCACACUGGAACUGAGACACGGUCCAGACUCCUACGGGAGGCAGCAGUGGGGAAUAUUGCACAAUGGGCGCAAGCCUGAUGCAGCCAUGCCGCGUGUGUGAAGAAGGCCUUCGGGUUGUAAAGCACUUUCAGCGGGGAGGAAGGCGUUAAGGUUAAUAACCUCAUCGAUUGACGUUACCCGCAGAAGAAGCACCGGCUAACUCCGUGCCAGCAGCCGCGGUAAUACGGAGGGUGCAAGCGUUAAUCGGAAUUACUGGGCGUAAAGCGCACGCAGGCGGUCUGUCAAGUCGGAUGUGAAAUCCCCGGGCUCAACCUGGGAACUGCAUUCGAAACUGGCAGGCUAGAGUCUUGUAGAGGGGGGUAGAAUUCCAGGUGUAGCGGUGAAAUGCGUAGAGAUCUGGAGGAAUACCGGUGGCGAAGGCGGCCCCCUGGACAAAGACUGACGCUCAGGUGCGAAAGCGUGGGGAGCAAACAGGAUUAGAUACCCUGGUAGUCCACGCCGUAAACGAUGUCGAUUUGGAGGUUGUGCCCUUGAGGCGUGGCUUCCGGAGCUAACGCGUUAAAUCGACCGCCUGGGGAGUACGGCCGCAAGGUUAAAACUCAAAUGAAUUGACGGGGGCCCGCACAAGCGGUGGAGCAUGUGGUUUAAUUCGAUGCAACGCGAAGAACCUUACCUGGUCUUGACAUCCACAGAACUUUCCAGAGAUGGAUUGGUGCCUUCGGGAACUGUGAGACAGGUGCUGCAUGGCUGUCGUCAGCUCGUGUUGUGAAAUGUUGGGUUAAGUCCCGCAACGAGCGCAACCCUUAUCCUUUGUUGCCAGCGGUUAGGCCGGGAACUCAAAGGAGACUGCCAGUGAUAAACUGGAGGAAGGUGGGGAUGACGUCAAGUCAUCAUGGCCCUUACGACCAGGGCUACACACGUGCUACAAUGGCAUAUACAAAGAGAAGCGACCUCGCGAGAGCAAGCGGACCUCAUAAAGUAUGUCGUAGUCCGGAUUGGAGUCUGCAACUCGACUCCAUGAAGUCGGAAUCGCUAGUAAUCGUAGAUCAGAAUGCUACGGUGAAUACGUUCCCGGGCCUUGUACACACCGCCCGUCACACCAUGGGAGUGGGUUGCAAAAGAAGUAGGUAGCUUAACCUUCGGGAGGGCGCUUACCACUUUGUGAUUCAUGACUGGGGUGAAGUCGUAACAAGGUAACCGUAGGGGAACCUGCGGUUGGAUCACCUCCUUACCUUAAAGAA
rnacentral:rRNA from 1 species